GGUGCCGCUCAGAUCUCGGUUCUCUACAAUGGUGUCCCUCGGGUCGGCGGUGGCAGCUGGCGCCGACACGCUCUUCGCCGACUACAAGCCCACCACCGCAUUCCUCUUCCCCGGCCAGGUACGUUUCAGAUACACGCUCCGCACUGCGAGAACCCAGACAUGUACCGUAGCUUGUUCAAAUGGCAGUCGUUCUGCAAUUAUCCAUGCGAGGGUGUUUCAAUUUUGAAAUUAUUGAUAUCAAGUCAAGCUGAUAUAAAAUCUAGCAAAUCUGAAGGAAGGUAAUGGCAAGUGUGUAUUCAGUUGAUGCUAAGUUGGUUAGCUGUGCAAGUUGGAAAAUAAAAUAACUUCACUGCUUCCUUCAGUUUUGGCGUGGAUCAUAUUUUGUCCUGAAGAUUUGUGAUUACUAGAUAAAACCCUGUGUUGCCCCGGGGCUGCUGCUGUGAAACAUUUGCUAAAAAAUGGCUAGACAAAAUGUAUGCAAGGUAUGAGGAAUUGUAAUAAAUAAGUUCAUUGAGGGUUGAGCCUAUUUCCUCGCCUGCGGCGACUGCUUUCGAGGUUCAGGAAUUGAUCUUUCGAUUUCACCUCCGAGAGCUAGCGACCGGGGGUUUGGGCGUUUCCAGGGUCUAGAUCGAGGUCUGCUAUCUCGCUGCCCGCAAUGCCGCAGAGGUUGGGCGUCAAUUGCUAGGGUUUUGCUUGCGGACUUGCGGAGAGAGAGCCGGGGAUCGUCUCGAAUGCGGCGGCAUAUCCGCGGUCCGGUGAUUGGUUUGGUUUUCCCGGAGCAGCGCCUACUCGAUUUGGUUUCCUGCUAAGCUCGUGAAGGGAGGGGGGUUUUGGGGGAGAAUUUGGUGAUUCGGUUGCAAUGUCCGGGUCUAGCUCAAGGGGGUGGCUGUCACCGGCGUCUGGCGGUGGAGACUCUGAGCCGAGGUCCGCGGGGAGCAGGACCAGGUCUGUGUCUGCUACCCGGGGCCGGAAGGAAUCGUGGAGGCCUGGGAGGAAUUCCGUCGCCGCAACAGCAGUGGAAGAGAAGAAGCUGGCUGAUGUGCCUACAUUGCUGCCGUCCCUCAGCGUACCCACAUGGGAUGCGCCGGCAGGAGUUGCUGCUGCGCUCAGGGUUCUCUCUUGACGUGUCGUGCUCAUCGGACUCGUUCUGCAGCCGGGCGUCCACAGGGCGGAUCGGGAGGCCAGUGUUCGGGCCGAGGAAGAAGAAGGCCAUCUCUUAGACUGAUCAUAAGCUUGCUGCCAUGCUGGAAAUGGAGGCUGGAUAGGCUUCUCCGGGUUACCCUUCUGGUCCGAAGAGGAGGUGUGCGUGGGUGACAGCAAAUGCAGGUUCUUCACGACUUCCAUUGGAGACGUUAGUUACUGGUAUCAGCAUACAUCUAAAGGUGCAUAUGGACCUUCUCCGCUGCAGAUCAUUGUUAGCCUGUACCAGAAUGCGCCACAGUUGGAUUAAACGUAUCGCUGCCAUUACGAAAUAUUAGGAUGACACUGGCAGUUAGUGAUCCAUUUUCUAUAGAGGGUUUUCUCUACAGAACAAUGUUUGUUCACAUUCCAGGGGGAUUUCGUGGAUCGGCUCCGUUAUGCUCAGUUUCUAGGAGAGCACUGUGAGCUAGCAGUGUAUAUGGAACAUCGUUGGCAGGUCAGUUGAUAUUGACCAUUCUAAUGGUGGUGACCUGUGUACCUGUAUACUAAUUCAUGUGAGUAUGUCGAGGGUAACAAAACUAAAUUUAAUUGAUAUUGUGAAAAUUUUCCCUUGAAGGCUUACAUACUUUUUCCUACUACAGUUCAGAUAUUCAGCAAACAUCCUCCGUCCAAUGCUCCCUUUGAGGGUUGGUUCAAGAAGUGGCUCUUAAUUUUUGGUGUUGGUGUCUUGCGAGAUUCAUUUAAUGUUCAGGAACAAAAUUUAUUUUGGCACUUGGUACACAUGGUUUUUUGCUCAUUAACAUCGUAUACCAAAUUAUUUAGUGUUCUGAAUUAUUGGAGGUACACUCAGUUUGAGAUCGGUUUUCUUAGUGCCAACUUCAGUUCAUGGUGGCAUGUUCUUUCCAGGUAGUGUUUAACUGCAUAUUGUUAUUGUUAACACACCAUGAUUAUGCGUCGUUAAUUUUUGCGACUGGUGUCUUGCGAGAUUCAUGUAAUGUUCAUGAAUGAAGUUUAUUUUAGCACUUGGUACACACGGUUUUUUUGUUCAUUAACACAUAUACCAUAUUGUUUAGUGUUAUGAAGGAUUGGAGGUACACUCAGAUUGAGAUCGGUUUUCUUUAGUGCCAACUUCAGCUCAUGCUGGCAUUUCUUUCAGGAAAUUGGGGUACAAGCUGGACACUAAAGGAGACACAGAGUCAUUGGAAGGGAAGCCAUGGGUCGGCGCUCAACGACUUUUGGCCUGGGAAAAGAAGCUUAUGCAGGAGGUCACGAUAUUUCUUCUAUCCGGUCAUCACGCCAGCAGGACAACAUGGGCAUAGCCUACUGGCCUACAUCACAAUGUUCUGCUUCAUCGACAUCAUCAGCGUGAAAUUGCUCCAGGUUCCAAAUUUUUGAUCUACAUGCAUGUAAUUCAUGUUCUCUGCAUCUAUACUUCUCCUUGACAUUGUUACAAUCAGGUUCCAGUGCUGUGAUUAUUUAUUCUCUCAGAAUGUGUGUCAAUCAGUCUGAAGUCGACCAUAGUUUCUUCAGUGCAAUAUGCAUUUCUCACAAGAGCAAAUGUUAUUCUAGCUCCAAUUUCUUCUUUAGGCAAGCUGGCCCAAAAAAAUAACUUAUGAUUCUCCUCCUUGUUUUAAAAGGUAAAACAUGUGGCAUGCAUUAAUAUGGUUGUAGCAUCAUACUAAUUUGCAAAGCUUCAAACUCGACACUGAGGUGAUUUGGGCUUGAACAUAAUAUUUUCCCUAUAUCUCUUUAUGGUUCAAGCCACACAAUACACAUAAUAUAGUAUAUUUUUACCUUCAGAAAUACUAUACAUAUUUGAUGUAUUUUUUUUGUUGGUGAUAUGAACUAAAUUUGGUGUAGUUUUUGUGUAUUCAAAAAUCCACUAUGGAUUUGUUGUAUAUUUUAGCCUAUCUACGAUGUGUGUUCUAUUUUUUAUGUGACUAUUGGUUAUUAGAAUUCUGCAACAUGGCAAAAUUUGAUAUUUUUUUUGAGUUUAAUAUGAAGCAAUGGUGGAUUUUUUUCAUAAUUUUAUGAGUUGAAUAUGAAGCAAUGGUGGAUUGUUCACCAUAUUUGUAUUCCAAGGUUCAAGAAAGCGGAAAGCUUAAGUGCAUAAGCGGAGCAAUUGGCUCGUGCCUAGAGUUUUGGUCGCUUAAGCGGCUCUAAGUGUGCUUAAGCGUUUCUAAAAUUUACUGAUUUUAGUUGGAGGCUUGCAUCUGGGAGCAGAGUAGAGAGAACCAUCAAUUCUGAACAAGCAUAUGUGUUUGUGCGCGGGGGCAAAAGAUCAGAUGGAACUAUAGAAGACAGGAACCAAUGGAUAUAAAGGCUUACAUCACCAUUAUCUACUACCAUACCAAGGUGUUUGUGUUUCGAAAUCCUAGGCUUGUCGUUGAAGCCAUGGAGAGACAAUGGGGGCAGGUAUGGCGAAGAUAGGAUGAAGAAGCUGCACGCCAAGGACGCGCUGGAGUUCUUCAACCAGGUCAUGGUGGAUCAACCCUUGCUCCUGUUCCUGAUCCCGCUCAGCUCUCGAAGCUCAAGUUAAUGGAGCUCCCGGAGGCACAUGCCAAAGAGGCGAGAGCCAGCGUGAAAGAUAAAGAUCCCAAUGAGAGCUAGAAGGUGGACUGGCGCUCAUGAGCAAGCUGCAGAUGUUUUAAUUAGAAGACAACCAAAGCAAGAAUUUAAAUACGUUAGAUGGUCUUUAGAGCUCACAAAGGAUUCACAUGAUAUAACCUUUUCGUUUUGGAAACUAUUACAUUUUUUUCCGGUGAGUACUUCAAGUAGAAGAUGAAAACAUAGGAACAUGUGCUAAGUGGCGAAGCAACAUAAUCCAGUUCAGUGGCAUGGCUUUCUCUAUUUUCUUAGGAAAUCUGGGUGAUUCUUCUGUUUGCUGAUACAGUCCCCGAGUGAAUAAUGAACUUUUCUCCUGUCACAAACUUUCA